UCUGAAUGAAUAUUUGAAAGAUAUAGUAAAAUACAAAGAAAAUAAAAUUCAAGCAUGAAUCCCACAUACAUGUAUUGCAGUGUAUAGUUCACAUAAAAACAAAAAACACAAAACAAUCCUCUGACAGAUUGUAUUUUCCCAAAAUGGCACAGCAAUAUUUCUGUUCUUACAUUCUCCUCUAGAACCUUGCCACUUCCCAUCUGGAGAUAGAAUCUCUUUCCCCUUUAUUUGAACAUAGGUGGGACUUGUGACUCCUCAACCAAUAGGAAAUAGUGGAAUGGAUGCAGUGUGCCUUCUGAGGUUGGGUCAUACAUGGUGACAUAGUUCCUUCUGGCUGCCUCUCAGGAUGUUCACCCUUGCAUUCAGCCACCAUGUGGAGAAGAAGCUCCAAGAGACCAUGGGGAGAAGCCUCUUGGAGAGGCCUGCCUGGAGGAGAAUUAAGAUCCCCAAUCAGUGUAAGCCACCAAAAGUGAAGCAUUGGCAGGAUGACAAUUUAACAAGUAUGCAGCUGUAG
rnacentral:lncRNA from 1 species